UUAAGGAAGCUCAGUUGGACGCCGUCUUUUCCUUAUGCGUUAUUCCACGGCACUGUUCGGCAUAUUCAUUAGAGCAUUCUUUCCCUGAAUUAACCGCAAGAAGCUGAUAAAAUCAAGAAAAGCCUAGUACUCACAUUGACGAAAGCCGCAAGCAAACCAUAAGAGUGAGCGAGAGGGAAAUAGGCAGCUAACGCUUUACGU